rfam:Myotis lucifugus cont2.19715, whole genome shotgun sequence.
GGUGGUUCUCGUGUGAUGACUCCAGGAUCAGGCUCCCUCCUCUCUGGUUCCAGGGUGCGUCAUGCGAGAACCGCC